rnacentral:snRNA from 12 species
CGGCUACAUCCAACCCAGUCGAUUCGACGGGAGUUGCCGACGACGGCUUGGAGGAGCAGGUGCCAGAAAACGAUGCAGACAUUCCGUCGCCACCGAUGGGCGACGAAAGGACGGGGAAGACGGAGAUGAAUGCACCCGUGGGGAAUGU